rnacentral:rRNA from 1 species
CACACUGUCAACGAUGUGCACUAGGUGCUGGGGCGGAUGUUUCAGUGCCGGAGCUAACGCGGUAAGUGCACCGCCUGGGGAGUAUGCUCGCAAGGGUGAAACUCAAAGGAAUUGACGGGGGCCCGCACAAGCGGUGGAGCAUGUGGUUUAAUUCGAUGGUACACGAGGAACCUUACCUGGGUUUGACAUGCACAGGAAUACGGCAGAGAUGUCGUAGCGCCGCAAGGCGUCUGUGAACAGGUGC